UUUCCAGACUCCUACGGGAGGCAGCAGUGGGGAAUAUUGCACAAUGGGGGGAACCCUGAUGCAGCAACGCCGCGUGAAGGAAGAAGUAAUUCGUUAUGUAAACUUCUAUCGACAGGGAAGAAAGAAAUGACGGUACCUGAAUAAGAAGCCCCGGCUAAUUACGUGCCAGCAGCCGCGGUAAUACGUAAGGGGCAAGCGUUAUCCGGAUUUACUGGGUGUAAAGGGUGAGUAGGCGGCGAUGCAAGUCAUAUGUGAAAUUCCGGGGCUUAACUCCGGAGCUGCAUAAGAAACUGCGUUGCUUGAGUGCAGGAGAGGCAAGCGGAAUUCCUAGUGUAGCGGUGAAAUGCGUAGAUAUUAGGAAGAACACCGGUGGCGAAGGCGGCUUGCUGGACUGUAACUGACGCUGAGUCACGAAAGCGUGGGGAGCGAACAGGAUUAGAUACCCCAGUA
rnacentral:rRNA from 1 species